rnacentral:rRNA from 1 species
GACGAACGCUGGCGGCGUGCUUAACACAUGCAAGUCGAACGGAAAGGCCUGCUUUCCCUUGUGGAUUGCGGGUACUCGAGUGGCGAACGGGUGAGUAACACGUGAGUGAUCUGCCCCCAACUUGGGUAUAAGCCUGGGAAACUGGGUCUAAUUCCCGGUAGGACUGCAGGGUGGUGCCUGUGGUGGAAAACGAUUUUCUAGUGGUUGGGGAUGAGCUCGCGGCCUAUCAGCUUGUUGGUGGGGUAAUGGCCUACCAAGGCGGCGACGGGUAGCCGGCCUGAGAGGGUGGACGGCCACAUUGGGACUGAGAUACGGCCCAGACUCCUACGGGAGGCAGCAGUGGGGAAUAUUGCACAAUGGGCGGAAGCCUGAGGCAGCGACGCCGCGUGGGGGAUGACGGCCUUCGGGUUGUAAACUCCUUUCGACCGCGAGGAAGCCACCUGGUUGGAAGGGUGGUGACGGUAGUGGUAGAAGAAGCACCGGCUAACUACGUG